UCGGGAAUUUUGCGCAAUGGACGAAAGUCUGACGCAGCAACGCCGCGUGAGGGAUGAAGGCCUUCGGGUUGUAAACCUCUUUUGUCAGGGACGAUGAUGACGGUACCUGACGAAUAAGCCACGGCUAACUACGUGCCAGCAGCCGCGGUAAUACGUAGGUGGCAAGCGUUGUCCGGAUUUACUGGGCGUAAAGAGCGCGCAGGCGGUCGUUCAAGUCGCGUGUGAAAGCCCCCGGCUCAACUGGGGAGGGUCACGCGAUACUGAUCGACUCGAAGGCAGGAGAGGGUAGUGGAAUUCCCGGUGUAGUGGUGAAAUGCGUAGAUAUCGGGAGGAACACCAGUGGCGAAGGCGACUACCUGGCCUGUUUCUUGACGCUGAGGCGCGAAAGCUAGGGGAGCAAACGGGAUUAGAUACCCCGGUAGUCCUAGCCGUAAACGAUGGACACUAGGUGUUGGUGGUAUCAACCCCGCAGUGCCGAAGCUAACGC
rnacentral:rRNA from 1 species